GCGGGGUCGGCGGGGUGAGCGGGGGCGGCGCGGGCAGUGGGGCGGGGGUCGCCAGCCGCUAUUGGGCGGCGGGCAAGCUGCCGCACCUGCCCGCGCCCUCCUAGCGCCCGCCAUCCGCGCGCCGCCUGGCGAAGGUGUCGUCGCUAGAGGCGCCGCGGCGCGCGGCGGCGGGCCCCGCGCGGCUCGACCUCGAGCGGCGCAGCCUCGACCUCGAGCGGGAGCUGCGCGCCGAGCGCGACUCUGACGCGUCGCUCGACGAGCGCGACCACCUCGUGUGAUUACCGACCCGCCCGUUUGCGCUCAGCGCCAUCUACGAAGUGAGCGUGUGAACUGACCGACCCGCUCGCUUUGAGAACAGCGCCAUCUAUCGACCGAACAGUGAUAGUGAUGUGAAAGUUUGAAUUCCGCGCGCAUUUCUUCGUGUCACGUUGCCGUGCUUUUGUUUUGAUGUCGAUUUAAAAAAAAAAUACUACUUUAUGUAGACCUUUUGUAUCGUUUAAUACUCGUGUAAUGUUCAUUUUAUAAGCUGAAACAUACAUCGAAUUGUAUUGUUGCACCUCAUCGGUCGAAUGAUAUAAAAAUAUUGUUAACAUUAUAUAUAUAUUUGUCACAAUUCACAUUCGAUUCGACUGUUCUGUGAAAUUGUACUCGUUGUAGGUAUAAUUAUUUACAUGUUCCUAUUAAUAGUGUACUCCUUGUGUAACACCAAACGUGAAAUUAUAAAACAGACUACAUUAUUCGCAGUAGAAAAGAUAAAUUUAGUGUAGCUAAUUAUACCUUUUGUCCUUUUUGGACUCGAGAAUAAUCUAGUUUGUUUUGCGACUUCCCGUUCCACGGCAACGGCGGCUACGAGCGGCCGCGAGACAUUUUCGCUUGGCGGCGUGCGUUAAAAAGAAUCUAGUGCGUAGUGGCAAAAUUGAUCUCAAUAAAUAAAAUAAAGACUACGAAAUGAAACGUAAAUAAAUACGAAAAAAUUUAGUGGAAUUGUGCGAGUAACCUAUCGUGUUUUACUGUUUUCUAUGUAUUAUACAUGUAACGUAAGGACAUUGUGUCGUUAUUAGUGCCUGCUAAGUCUGGUUUAGUGUUAGGAACCUCGACCACUGUUUAAGGAUACUCUUUAAACAAACCGAACGACUUGAAAACUUUCGAGAGUUUAAUUUUUCCCAGCUUCACGCUUCACGUACAAAUGAAUUCUUAGAAUCUUGCACCGAUGAUACGCAAGAUUUUAACAGAAUUUAAAAUUAAAAAUCGAGUGCGACAAAGCGAUCACUUUUUAUAUAUAGUUAAUAAAAAUUAUCUCUCGAAACAUUAGUUUAAGUGAACUAUUAAUGUGUGUGACUAAACAAUUUUCUACUGAAUCAAAAAUGUUUUAAUUUUAAUUUUAUAACUCGACUUCGUGUAGUUAUAUCCAAGUGAUGUAUUUCGCUGUAUUUCAUAGUGAAACGGUGACCUUAUUAUUGGAAUUCUUAAUGGAUAUAAGGGUAGAUAGAUACAAGGCCUUCUAGUUAAGGAGCUAAGCGAUUUUGUUUGUGAAUAGGCAUAGUUGUGAUUUUAAUGUUGUAUACAGUGGAUUGUAGACGAGUAUUUUAUUUAUGUCGGCCAUUGUUUAUCAAAUAUAUGUGUUAAAUGGAAUCUGUUCUGGUUUGGACUGUUUUGAAAUUAUAACUAACAUUUGUUGAUAUGAACCCGUAAGGUUACGCGUUACGCCUUUAUUAAAAAGCAGACUGUCCUACGAGAAAAAAGUUUUGAAAUAAUUUGAACCAGAUAUAUAAUUAGUACAUAAACGGCAUUUUAUUUAUCAUAACAAAAUGUUCCUUUUUUAAUGUACAGUCAAACAUAUCAAUGCAUGAACAAACGUGAAAUGAACAAUAAUUGAUUUUAUGUUGAGUUUACUCGUGCAAUUAUAAUUAAGUGAUGUUUAAACAGGUUUUGUCCCUAUUUUGUAUUUCAUUGCAUGAUAGUUCCAUAAUAUGGCGGAACGGCGUUGCUAAAAAUGAUAAAAAUAGAUAGAAAUAGACAGAAUAAUCAGUAGGUAUAUAAAGCUAUUGUUAUGUUCUUGCAAUGCGCCGUCAUAUUAUGUCGGAUAUAUUGAGAUCUUUUAUCAAUAAAAGUGCUUCAACCCCGUGCAAUAUGUUUGACAUAAAUAUAAUUUUUUUUUAUUGCUUAAUUUGUCUUCCUAUGAUAAUUGUACCAAUUGCAAAGGCCUACUGUUAUCUGUAUAAUCGUAAUGCAUUUUUAUUUUCGUUUAGUUUGUAGUUGAUUUCUUUUUCAUUAUGUAUGUGAUUACAUAGUAAUAAUAGUUUUUAAAUGAAAUGCACACGAUUAUUGUGAUUUUGUAUAUGCGAGAUUUAGUGAGGCGAAAAUUACCAGUGUUGAAAAUGAAAAGAACAAAGCGGUCAAGGAAUUUUUGAAAGUGUUUCAUAUUGGAGUUUUAUUUUGCAUUUAUAUUAUUGUUUUUUUUUUAUGAUUUUGGUCCUUCGAAUAUUUCGCAAUACAAGUGCGCACAAUCAGUAUGAAGACAUUUAUUUUACGUUUAAUAGAACAUUCAAGAAGCUAUUAACCAAAUAAAAGUGUUUAACUGAUUGGAUGUGUGUAUAAAUGGUAAUUCUAAUCUACUAGUAAAUUAAAAUGUACUGUGAUCAUUUAGAUUUAAAAAUAACUUUAAAUUUCUAUCAUUGGUAAUUUUCGUAAAUAUAAUAUGCGGUUAAUGGGAGUCGUUUUCGAGAUUUAUGACUAAUCGCGUGUUUUUAAAAUUGACAGUGACACUAUACUCAACGUAGCAUUUUCGGCUAUCAUUUAGAUUUGACUGCCUUUCGUUUAUUAUGCUCAAUAGAUUGUAGUGGUCAAAUAAACUCGUUUAAGUACAGACAGGUGGCGAUUCUAGUUUAUUUUUUACCCAGAUAGCUGUUUAAGGUAUAUAGUCAAUUACUAUAGCUUAUUUUAACUGGAAUGCUGGUUGAUUGCGGUUUGUAGCCGAUCAAUAAAUGACGGUAGUUUUCGAAAACUUAUUGGCAAGACUGCAGCGACAUCUGGAGUGAUUCAUCUGAAUAGCGUUUUGUUUGCAACGUGGAGUAUGGAAACAUGUAAAUAACUUUUGUAAAUUGUAAUAUGAAUUAAUUAUCUCACGUAUAAGUUUGGAUUUUUAUUUGUAUUAUUAUAUUUACGACUCAAAUACUUUUUUAUCUACCACUUUGUCAUGUCUCUGCUUGCGUAUUCCGUCCAAUGAUCUACUCUUGCCAUUUGACAAUUCUUUUUCUGUAACUUUUAGAUAUAAAUGUUCAACGUCUUAGAGUAGGGAAUGUCCGCCGCCAUUAAACUCUAUCGACAAGAAAAUAUAUCCAGUUAGUUAAGUACAAACGAUUCGAGCGGAACUCUAUAGCGAAUGUAAAGGCGAUGGUUCACUCAGAUGGCGCCACAGUCGCUCCGGUCUCCACUUGGCAUUGAACAGUAUUAAAAUAAUUUUUCGUUGAAAGUCUCGCAUCGCUACUGCCAAGUACAUUUAAUUAAUUAUAAGUUAAAUUUGCUAUAUCACAGUUUACAUAUAGCAAAAGUCUAGUUACUAUUAUUAUAUAGCUUUCGUUCGACCGCUGCAUUUCUCUUAUACCCUAGUUAUUUUGUAACAUUGUGUUCUCAUUUUGUAUCUAAAGCUGCUGUUUCACGUGUUGAAACUCGUAGCGACAAUGUGAAUACUAUACAAUUUAAAUAAAUGAAUUAUAUAAUGAA